rnacentral:rRNA from 1 species
CCUACGGGCGGCUGCAGUGGGGAAUUUUGGACAAUGGGCGCAAGCCUGAUCCAGCUAUUCCGCGUGUGGGAUGAAGGCCCUCGGGUUGUAAACCACUUUUGUAGAGAACGAAAAGACACCUUCGAAUAAAGGGUGUUGCUGACGGUACUCUAAGAAUAAGCACCGGCUAACUACGUGCCAGCAGCCGCGGUAAUACGUAGGGUGCGAGCGUUAAUCGGAAUUACUGGGCGUAAAGGGUGCGCGGGCGGUUGAGUAAGUACGAUGUGAAAUCCCCGAGCUUAACCCGGGAAUGGCAGUGGGUACUGCUCGACUAGAGUGUGUCAGAGGGAGGUGGAAUUCCACGUGUAGCAGUGAAAUGCGUAGAUAUGUGGAAGAACACCGAUGGCGAAGGCAGCCUCCUGGGACAUAACUGACGCUCAGGCACGAAAGCGUGGGGAGCAAACAGGAUUAGAUACCCCAGUAGUC